rnacentral:rRNA from 1 species
AAUAUUGCACAAUGGGGGAAACGCUGAUGCAGCGACGCCGCGUGAGUGAAGAAGGCCUUCGGACCGUAAAACUCUGUCCUGGGUGAAGUGAAUUACGAUAGCCAAGGAGGAUGCCCCGCCGAACUACGUACCAGCAGCCGCGGUAAUACGUAGGGGGCUAGCGUUGUCCGGAUUUACUGGGCGUAAAGGGUUAGUAGGCGGUUGCAUAAGUCAGAUGUAAAAGGCUAAGGCUUAACCGUAGUAUGCAUUUGAACCUGUGUGACUUGAGAACAGGAGAGGUUAGUGGAAUUCCUAGUGUAGCGGUGAAAUGCGUAGAUAUUAGGAGGAACACCAGUGGCGAAGGCGACUUACUGGACUGUAACUGACGCUGAGUCACGAAAGCGUGGGUAGCAAACA